CGGGAGAAAAGCUGAAACGGUGCGGUAAGAGCGCACCAGCGCGCUGGCAACAGCGCGGCUUGGUAAACCCCAUCUGGAGCAAGCGCAAAUAGGAGCGCCAUACGGUGGCCCGCCGUGCGCUCGGGUUGCGUGCUAGAGGCGCGAGGCGACUCGCGUUCGAGAUAAAUGGCCGUCCCCGACAGAACCCGGCUUAUAGGCCCGCUCGUUUU
rnacentral:RNase_P_RNA from 1 species